UCCGAACUACACAAGUACUUUGAGACACAUAUUCCCAAAUAUUGAGCAGAUUGAUUCUGAAGUCUACGCAUAGGCAUGGUUGAUGCUGAUCCCCAUGAAUAAUCUGCUUUUCUCAGUUUUAAAUUGUCUUCUAUGAGAUCCACCUGAUGAGAUGCUAUAAAACCUGUUAUGGCAUGAUAUAUCGUGAAAAGAUGAAAAUGCAUGUAGCUUCUACCUAAUUAGUGAUCAUGCAAUGACAUUUGCUCAUUGGUUUUUUGUCUCUGAAGAUACUUAUUUUGUUUGUCCUCGGACUACAAAGGAGUAAGAAUAUUGUUCUCAUCUUUCCCUCCAAAUUAGAAAUGUCGCUUUUUGGUGUUCUGCAUUGUGAACUGAUAGCACCUUACAAUCAUAUCAACAGUGAAAAUAUAAGCGUAAAAUGUGUAAAUUGG
rnacentral:lncRNA from 1 species